GAACGAACGCUGGCGGCAGGCCUAACACAUGCAAGUCGAGCGCGCCCUUCGGGGUGAGCGGCGGACGGGUGAGUAACGCGUGGGAACGUGCCCUUUUCUACGGAAUAGCCUCGGGAAACUGAGAGUAAUACCGUAUACGCCCUUUGGGGGAAAGAUUUAUCGGAAAAGGAUCGGCCCGCGUUGGAUUAGGUAGUUGGUGGGGUAAUGGCCUACCAAGCCGACGAUCCAUAGCUGGUUUGAGAGGAUGAUCAGCCACACUGGGACUGAGACACGGCCCAGUCUCCUACGGGAGGCAGCAGUGGGGAAUCUUAGACAAUGGGGGCAACCCUGAUCUAGCCAUGCCGCGUGAGUGAUGAAGGCCUUAGGGUUGUAAAGCUCUUUCAGCUGGGAAGAUAAUGACGGUACCAGCAGAAGAAGCCCCGGCUAACUCCGUG
rnacentral:rRNA from 1 species